rnacentral:rRNA from 1 species
UACGUAGGGGGCAAGCGUUGUCCGGAUUUAUUGGGCGUAAAGAGCGUGUAGGCGGCUUUGUAGGUCCGCUGUGAAAACUCGAGGCUCAACCUCGAGAUGUCGGCGGAAACCACUUGGCUAGAGUCCGGAAGAGGAGAGUGGAAUUCCCGGUGUAGCGGUGAAAUGCGCAGAUAUCGGGAAGAACACCCAUGGCGAAGGCAGCUCUCUGGGACGGUACUGACGCUGAGACGCGAAAGCGUGGGGAGCGAACAGG